CCGAGUUAGGGUGUCGACUCUUCGCGCCCGACCUCCAACCCUUUGUCUACUUAACCAAACGUUGCUUCGGCAGGCCCGCCGGGACGCUUCAUUGCGGCCUGGCCGCCGGGGGUUUCACGACCCCGGGCCCGCGCCUGUCGAUGGCCCCCCCAUAAACUCUUGAUAAAACGUGUCGUCUGAGUCUUAUGAUUAAAAAUCAAAACA
rnacentral:misc_RNA from 1 species